AUUGAACGCUGGCGGCAUGCUUUACACAUGCAAGUCGAACGGCAGCACGGGUGCUUGCACCUGGUGGCGAGUGGCGGACGGGUGAGUAAUACAUCGGAACGUGUCCUGAAGUGGGGGAUAACGCAUCGAAAGAUGUGCUAAUACCGCAUAUACUCUAAGGAGGAAAGUAGGGGAUCGAAAGACCUUAUGCUUUUGGAGCGGCCGAUGUCUGAUUAGCUAGUUGGUAAGGUAAUGGCUUACCAAGGCGACGAUCAGUAGUUGGUCUGAGAGGACGACCAGCCACACUGGGACUGAGACACGGCCCAGACUCCUACGGGAGGCAGCAGUGGGGAAUUUUGGACAAUGGGCGCAAGCCUGAUCCAGCAAUGCCGCGUGAGUGAAGAAGGCCUUCGGGUUGUAAAGCUCUUUCAGUCGAGAAGAAAAGAUUACUGAUAAUACCAGUAAUCCAUGACGGUAUCGACAGAAGAAGCACCGGCUAACUACGUG
rnacentral:rRNA from 1 species